CAAACAGUUUCAGCAACGAAUGUCUAGGUUCCUACAACGAUGAAGAACGCAGCGAAAUGCGAUACGUAAUGCGAAUUGCACGAUCAGCGAGUCAUCAAAACUUUGAACGCAGCUUGCACUUCC
rnacentral:rRNA from 2 species